rnacentral:rRNA from 1 species
UACCGGGGGAGCAAGCGUUGUUCGGAUUUACUGGGCGUAAAGGGCGCGUAGGCGGUCGUGACAAGUCACUUGUGAAAUCUCCGGGCUUAACUCGGAACGGUCAAGUGAUACUGUCGGACUAGAGUACAGAAGGGGCAACUGGAAUUCUCGGUGUAGCGGUGAAAUGCGUAGAUAUCGAGAGGAACACCUGCGGCGAAGGCGGGUUGCUGGGCUGAUACUGACGCUGAGGCGCGAAAGCCAGGGGAGCGAACGGG